rnacentral:rRNA from 1 species
UACGGAGGGUGCGAGCGUUGUCCGGAAUCACUGGGCGUAAAGGGCGCGUAGGCGGCGCGGGAAGUCCGUGGUGAAAGCCCGGGGCUCAACUCCGGAAUUGCCUUUAAGACUGCAUCGCUAGAAUUGUGGAGAGGUAAGUGGAAUUCCGAGUGUAGAGGUGAAAUUCGUAGAUAUUCGGAAGAACACCAGUGGCGAAGGCGACUUACUGGACACAUAUUGACGCUGAGGUGCGAAAGCGUGGGGAGCAAACAGG